AGGAAAAGUAAGAGGGGGAGAAGCUAGCGGCAGAAAACUACUAGGCACUAAGAGUGAAGAAAACGUGCCUUCCACGUCUCCCCUUCCCACACCCUCCAAUAAGGAGACUUUGGCAGAGGUGCCUAAGGAAGUCCUGCCUGAGAGUCCAUUCUCAUGCUGCUAUAAGAAAUACCUGAGAAAAAUAAGGAGAAAGAGAUUCAAUGGACUCACAGUUCCACAUGGCUGAGGAGGCCUCACAAUCAUGGCAGAAGGUGAAAGAGGAGCAAAGGCACAUCUUACAUGGAGAUCACAGAAUGAAGGUGUUCUCUGAAUUUCCCUUAUCUACCCAAAGUCUGCACUCAUCAAAGAGGAAAACAAAUACCUCUCCUUCCUUAUUGGAGUUUUCAUUAAGUGAACUCAUACUGCAGGAGGAAAGACCUGAAGUCUGUCAACCCAUCUGGACAGAUAUAUUGUCACAAACCGUUGCCUGCUCUGCAGGACUAAUAGAUUUUGCAACAGGCCAUCGUAUGUUCUUCAAGCUCAUUGAAUUCCCCUAAAAUCAUCCACAUUUCCCCAUCUCUCUUUCCCCAAAGAAGUAGGGUAUAUAAACAUCUGUACCCAAUCGGGAUAUUGGGUAAUCACUCUAUGAUACUCCCCAUAAAUGCUAAUAAAUUUGCAUGCCAUUUAUCCUAUUAAUCUGUCAUUUACAGUUGACUUUUUAGCAAACUAUCAGAAAUAAAAGGAAACGUUUUCCUUUGGUUCCUAUACAACCAUAUGCAAUAUUCCUAUGUAUAUUAACUUUAAUUAAAAAGUAGAAGGAAAAAAUCCAUUAGUUCUUCAUGAUAAUAACAAAAUCAGGGAAGGGGAAGAAGACAAAGCUAUACCUUACAUAAGAAAGUAAUCUAAGAAACAGGAAGGAAUGAUAGAAUUAAAAGGUGGCUAUUAUCCAACCAUUAUUGUAAUAAUUGAUUCGGGCUAAAAUCAUCAAAGGAUACUGAAGUAUUGGUUAAAAUUUUGUUGUGGAAGAGAAUAUUCAUGUGAACUUUUUGAAUCAUCCCAGAGAUUACUUAUGAAUUACAAAAGGGGAAGAAUGCCUUUGCAAAGAAGAAUGUGGACAUCACUUUCAAAUUCUGACUAAAGUUUACAUCAUCAAAAAUGGGACCAAUUGACAUCAUGUGCCUCCUGAUAAAAUGUUCCAGGAAGGGUACUUUACCCAUGCAUUUUUCUUGGCAAUUAUAUUUACCUUAUUUUCUAAUAAAGAGGGGAUAAUAGGGAAAAUUCUAUUUGAACAAUUUUCUGCAAGUUGGAAUUAUUUUUUAAAAAUUCAAUGCUAUGAAAGACAAAUGCAUGCAUGCACACACACACACACACACACACACACACACACACACACACACACACCAGGAGACCAGAAGACUCUUCUAUAUUAAAUAAAACUAAAUAAACCUGACAGUGAAUGCAAUAUGUGAUCCUUGAGUGUGCCUGGAAUUAACAAAUAAAUAAUUAUGAAAAUUAUCAGGACAAUUGGGGAAAUUUGGAUGAAGUAAAUAUUUGAUAAUAAUAGUGUUAAAUUUCUUGUGUAUUGCAUUUUAUUUCAGUUACAUAAGAGACCACAGAAGAUGUAGGAUGCAGUACCUAGUACUAACAGUAUUGCCAUUUGGACUUAAAUUUUCAUCAAAAUAAAAAAAGAACUAUGGCAAAACUGUUAACUAGUGAUGCAUUUUGGUCAUGUAUAC
rnacentral:lncRNA from 1 species